AUUGAACGCUGGCGGCAGGCCUAACACAUGCAAGUCGAGCGGAGCGGCGGACGGGUGAGUAAUGCCUAGGAAUCUGCCUGGGAGUGGGGGAUAACGUCAGGAAACGGGAGCUAAUAACGAAUAAUAUCAGAUGAGCCUAGGUCGGAUGAGCGAGUUGGUGGGGUAACGUCCUAACAAGGCGACGAUCCGUAACUGGUAUGAGAGGAUGAUCAGUGACAUGGGAACUGAGACACGGUCCAGCCUCCGACGGGAGGCAGCAGUGGGGAAUAUUGGACAAUGGGCGAAAGCCUGAUCCAUCCAUGCCGCGUGUGUGAAGCAGGUCUUCGGAUUGUAAAGCACUUUAAGUUGGGCGGCGUUACCAACAGAAUAAGCACCGGCUAACUUCGUGCCAGCAGCCGCGGUAAUAC
rnacentral:rRNA from 1 species